AUAGGGGAGCCAGGCGGCACAGGCGCUGCAAACCCCGUCAGGCCCGAGAGGGAGCAGCGGUAGCAGUUGUCUGUGGGUGCCUGGUUUCCCUAAAAGA
rnacentral:SRP_RNA from 1 species